AACGGCGAGUGAAGCGGCAAAAGCUCAAAUUUGAAAUCUGGCUCCUUAGGGGGUCCGAGUUGUAAUUUGUAGAGGAUGCUUCGGGUGCGGCCACGGCCUAAGUUCCUUGGAACAGGACGUCACAGAGGGUGAGAAUCCCGUCUUUGGCAGUUGGCCCGCGCCCGUGUGAAGCUCCUUCGACGAGUCGAGUUGUUUGGGAAUGCAGCUCUAAGCGGGUGGUAAAUUUCAUCUAAAGCUAAAUAUUGGCCGGAGACCGAUAGCGCACAAGUAGAGUGAUCGAAAGGUUAAAAGCACCUUGAAAAGGGAGUUAAACAGCACGUGAAAUUGUUGAAAGGGAAGCGCUUGCGGCCAGACUCGGGCGCGGGGUUCAGCGGGUGCGCGUCACCCGUGUACUCCCCGCCGCCCGGGCCAGCAUCAGUUCUGACGGCCGGUCAAAGGCCCCCGGAAUGUAUCGUCUCUCGGGACGUCUUAUAGCCGGGGGUGCAAUGCGGCCUGUCGGGACUGAGGAACGCGCUUCGGCUCGGAUGCUGGCGUAAUGGCCGUAAGCGGCCCGUCUUGAAACACGGACCAAGGAGUCUAACAUCCACGCGAGUGUUCGGGUGUCAAACCCGUGCGCGCAGUGAAAGCGAACGGAGGUGGGAGCCUUAGGGCGCACCAUCGACCGAUCCUGAAGUCUUCGGAUGGAUUUGAGUAGGAGCGUGGCCGUUGGGACCCGAAAGAUGGUGAACUAUGCCUGAAUAGGGUGAAGCCAGAGGAAACUCUGGUGGAGGCUCGCAGCGGUUCUGACGUGCAAAUCGAUCGUCAAAUUU
rnacentral:rRNA from 1 species